rnacentral:tRNA from 1 species
UGGGGCGUCGCCAAGUGGUAAGGCAACGGGCUUUGGACCCGUCAUUCGCAGGUUCGAAUCCUGCCGCCCCAGCCA